GAGGGUGUAGCUCAGUGGUGGAGUACAUGCCUAGCGUACACGAGGUCCAGGGUUCAAGCCCCAGUGCCUUCA
rnacentral:tRNA from 1 species